AUUGAACGCUGGCGGCAUGCUUUACACAUGCAAGUCGAACGGUAGAGGGGGCAACCCCUUGAGAGUGGUGAACGGGUGAGUAAUGCAUCGGAACGUGCCCAGUCGUGGGGGAUAACGCAGCGAAAGCUGUGCUAAUACCGCAUACGAUCUCUGGAUGAAAGCGGGGGACCGAAAGGCCUCGCGCGAUUGGAGCGGCCGAUGUCAGAUUAGGUAGUUGGUGGGGUAAAGGCUCACCAAGCCAACGAUCUGUAGCUGGUCUGAGAGGACGACCAGCCACACUGGGACUGAGACACGGCCCAGACUCCUACGGGAGGCAGCAGUGGGGAAUUUUGGACAAUGGGCGCAAGCCUGAUCCAGCAAUGCCGCGUGCAGGAAGAAGGCCUUCGGGUUGUAAACUGCUUUUGUACGGAACGAAACGGUGAGCUCUAAUACGAGGUGAGGAUGACGGUACCUUGAUAAGAAGCACCGGCUAACUACGUGCCAGCCGCCGCCGUAA
rnacentral:rRNA from 1 species